CCAGAUGAUGACACUAUUUUUAAAUUCCCAUGUGCUGUUAAUGGGUUUUUGAAAGAAAAUAAAGAUAAUGAUAUUUGAUUGAUACAGAAGGCAUGUGACCAGAUGAUGUAAUUGAAUAGAAGAAGAGGAAACAUCAACUGCAGAUACAAGGGAUGAGGAGACAACACUAGAGGAUGUCUGAGUGGCUGCAGCUGAACGGCGCAUGUGUCCAGUACAAAGGUCACUGGUUACUGGUCACUGGUCACUUGUGAUGAUCCAAAUUUAUUUACAAACAACUCCACAGAAACCCCAAGACUCUACCAAGUGGUAGUAGGUUUGGUAGGAGAGGGAUGUCACAAAGCAGGCAGUUUACAGGUAUGAGAUAGCCAAUAGGGAGGUCCGAUCCCCAACAGGAAGGCAGGAUUGGGUGAAGAGAGUGUAGGAGAGCUAUAAC